CCCGCUGAACUUAAGCAUAUCACUAAGCGGAGGAAGAGAAACUAACAAGGAUUCCCCUUGUAACUGCGAGUGAACAUGGA
rnacentral:ncRNA from 1 species